CGUCCGUGGAUGCUCGAGACAAACCAAUAGCGGACCACGCUUUGUCGAGGCCUGGUGCACAGGCUCGAGCAAGCCAGUUUGAAUCACAAAGGCCUGUUUAUCCUUUAAUUUCCUGAAAGAUAUGAAAAUCUGCCGCUACA